CUUGGUGUACCCGUUGAGGGUGUAACACUUGGCGUUCCUGUCGAUGGGGUUACGCUCGGUGUACCCGUCGAUGGUGUGACACUUGGUGUUGCUGUAGAGGGUGUUACACUUGGUGUUCCAGUGCUUGUUGGAGUAACACUUGGGGUACCUGUUGAGGGUGUGACACUUGGUGUACCAGAGGUAGUUGGCGUGACACUUGGUGUUCCCGUUGAAGGUGUGACACUUGGUGUCCCUGUUGUUGAGGGUGUGACACUAGGUGUUCCUG